rnacentral:lncRNA from 1 species
GCAGGCAUACAAACAUGAAGGUACGGUGGAACAUAAUUGCAUCAUGGUUUCUGCAAGAUACCAUAGGAAAGCUCCUCUUCAUGAUUGCAAUCUAUUGCACCCCUUGCUGUUCUCAGCCAUGGACAUAACAUCAAGUGAAGGCUUGGUUACAGUGGCUUGUUAGGAAAAUGAAGUCUGAAUCAAUCUAGUUUUCAAUCAGUGGGUUCUAUUUGUACCAUCGAUGAAAGUCCAAUGUUCGGAGGGGGCAUGAGACAGUUGGUUAUUGAUUAGGGGUGGGUGCGAUCUGAACUGGAUCAAUUUUACUUUAUAGUCCCGG